GCAAAACUGGAAAAGUUGGGAACUCUGUCUUAAAGCACCUAAAGACUGAAGGAUUGUCAUACCAAAUAGCAACCCUACUAAUUUGGUCUGGAAGCAGCUUACGAAAUCAACUCUGGAUUGCUUUUUCGAGUAAACCUGUUUCAAGUUCACAAUCAUGAUUUGAGGUUCCUGCUUAUAAUAUGAGAAGCUGAAAUGUCAAAGUUGCCUCUCUGAUGUCCAGAACCAUACAAGAUUAACAGGGUUGGACUAGAUGACCUCCAGAUCCCUUCCAGCCCUGGAUUAUCCUCUGAAGCUGCGUCUAGUGCCAGUAUAUCCAGGGGAAGGGCCUUCUCUGUGGGGGCUCCCACCCUCUAGAAUGAACUUACCCCAGGACUCCGUCAACUGCCUGACCUUCGGACCUUUCGCCGCGAGCUGAAGACGUA